rnacentral:rRNA from 1 species
GAUGAACGCUAGCGGCAGGCUUAAUACAUGCAAGUCGAGGGGCAGCAUGACUGUAGCAAUACAGUUGAUGGCGACCGGCAAACGGGUGCGGAACACGUACAGAACCUUCCUUCGAGCGGGGAAUAGCCCAGAGAAAUUUGGAUUAAUACCCCAUAGUAUAUUGGAGUGGCAUCACUUUGGUAUUAAAGAUUUAUCACUUGAAGAUGGCUGUGCGGCUGAUUAGGUAGUUGGCGGGGUAACGGCCCACCAAGCCUGCGAUCAGUAACUGGUGUGAGAGCACGACCAGUCACACGGGCACUGAGACACGGGCCCGACUCCUACGGGAGGCAGCAGUAAGGAAUAUUGGUCAAUGGACGAAAGUCUGAACCAGCCAUGCCGCGUGGAGGAUGAAGGUCCUCUGGAUUGUAAACUUCUUUUAUAUGGGACGAAAAAAGGCUUUUCUAAGUCGUCUGACGGUACCAUAUGAAUAAGCACCGGCUAACUCCGUGCCAGCCGCCGCAGUAACAC